AGGUAAGCUACUAAGAGCGAAUGGUGGAUGCCUUGACUGGUAAAGGCGAUGAAGGACGUACUAGACUGCGAUAAGCUACGGGGAGCUGUCAAGAAGCUUUGAUCCGUAGAUUUCCGAAUGGGGCAACCCAAUGUAUAGAGAUAUACAUUACCUAUAUAGGAGCGAACGAGGGGAAUUGAAACAUCUUAGUACCCUCAGGAAAAGAAAUCAAUAGAGAUUGCGUCAGUAGCGGCGAGCGAAAGCGCAAGAGGGCAAACCCAGUGCUUGCACUGGGGGUUGUAGGACUGCAAUGUGCAAGAGCUGAGUUUAGCAGAACAUUCUGGAAAGUAUAGCCAUAGAGGGUGAUA
rnacentral:rRNA from 1 species